rnacentral:lncRNA from 1 species
GGAAAUUUAUGGAUUUUGUUCAAAUACUUUUGAUGGGCUUUACCCAAAGUAAUGUCCUUUGAUGCUGAAGUUGAAGAAUUGCACAAUAACCAAAACUUAUUGUAGAGAGAAAAGAAGAAGAGGAGGAGGAAAAAUAAUUGAGAGGAAAGUAUGACAUUUGAAGCCAAGAGAAGGAAGAUUGACGAGUCACUUUCUCCCGGGUAAACAAUGGCUAUGUCUUUCAUAAACCUCUAUCUUUUUUAUUUAUUUAUGUUUCUUCAUAUUUUUGUCUCAUAUGAUUUUUCACAUUUGAUAUGCUUAGUUUUAGUGAUGUUGAGCAUAAAGUUUUGACCUUUACCCUGUUAUUUUUGUUGGGUUUUUAAAGAUGAUUUUUAUCAUUCAUGGGAUUUUGUUUUCCAGACAAAUUAUUCUUGAUAUGGAGCUGAAUACUACUUAAUGAGAAAAAUAAAUUAUUUUUGUUGAUAGAGCAAAUGGUUAUGUGUUACUCAUGCGUAUAAUUCAUCAGUAUUUGGAUGAUUAUGUAAAAAUUAAAAUAUGCUUUCAAAAUAUAAAACCACCAUUUCAGUCCCUGAAUUUAUUAGCACCCUGUAUUAGUACUUGACUUUAGGAAAUUAUCAUUUUUGGGAUAUCAUUUUGGCCCCUGAAUGUAGGGUGUGGUGGAUCAUAAUUUCGGAACUAAUAUGAUUAAUGCUUACAGUCUAAAAAAUUGAAAUGGUAAUUUCACAAAAUCAGAUACUAAUACGGCAUGCGUUUAUAAAUUGAUGGACUGAAAUGGUGGCUUACUCUUUUUUUACCUGAUAUUGCAGUAUCCUUUUGAAUCGCCAAAUCCUUUCGGCUAUAAACUUAUAACUGAAGUCUUCGAGGUGAGAGGUUAUCAUAUUCAUAUAUGCCCAUCCUAGGCUUUAAGAUCUUCUACUGGACAAGGAAUAUGUUGUCUAGUUUCUCUUAUCUUAGGACCCUAAUCUGUCUCCCUUGUAAUCAAUAAAUAGGAUUUAACUGACAAUGUGAAAGGUGCCCUGUGCCCAUAUUAGUUUCUCUUGAAAGUUAUAACCCUUCAUCCACUUUGCAUGUACUAAUAAAGAGUUCUCAUUUUGGCUAAUUGUGGCUUGUAGGGUACCUCUGUCUUUAGUUUCACUUUAUCAUUUCAAUGAUGGUUAAAGCUAGAUUCUCUACUAUAAAAGAUGGUUUUGUCAAUUUAUAUCAUUAAGUAACAGUUUAUGUGGAUUUCCAAAGAGAAAUGUAUUUUGAUCUGCAUUCCAUUGCUUACAGGAUUCUAGUUUCAUCUAAUACAAAAAAUGGCAUAGCUACUGCAUCGAGUAAUGGACCAUCGGUAUUUCUUUUUGCUUGGCCCUUUCGUCGUGGCAUUCUUUUCUUUUAUACUUUUCCAUGUAUGUACCCAUAUGCCUAUAUCUCCAGUUAAUCUCUCUCUCUCUCGUAUGCAGGUUAGUGCGACACUUCAACAGGCGAAGAAGUAUUUUGCAGCAACAGAAGCACAAAAGGAUGGUUGUACUGGGAACUAUAGGAUCUUUGAUUCAGCCUUUGGCAAUUUUCUUGUACCUGUAGUUCCAACUCGUGCAGAGCUAACCAAGUAAUUCUUGUGCCGUACGCUUCCUUAUUUUUCCAUGUCAACUUGCAAGUUUGGUCCGUAAGCAUUGGUAUCGGUACACACUUGUAAAAAGGCCAAAACGUUAUAUAAGUAUAUUUUCUCAUAUUCCCAAGGUUCUUGUUAGCUUGUUUCCAAUUAUAGGAUGUCUGCUGCAGUGUUAAAAGCAGCUAAUUGUGCAACUUGUGCUUCACAGAGAAUUUGAUAAAAUAUGUUAGGACCCAUGGACAUGAUAUUUGUUAGGAAUAUAACAGUAGAAAUAUCUUCCACUAUAUUAUCAUAUAAAUCUUUCAAAUAUUAAUACACAAACUUCUUUAUUAUCUUCAAUUGUUCUUGCUCUACUGUGUUGAACAUUUC